UUCCCUAACAAGUUUUAUUUGUUAAUUUAGAAUGCAGAGAUGAACCUUUUAACUUUACUCUGAAAGCAAAUAUUGACUUUGUUUCAUAGUAAUCUGGACUUUGCACAGGACGGGAAAAGCCUGACAUUCCUGAAAAUGGCAGCUGAGACAUCCAAAGAAGUUCCAAAAACUGCUAGACAAUUCGUCCUUAAAGAAGAGGUAAUAGUAGAAAGAAAAUGGUUGAAGCUUGAAGAAACAACUUAUACGGAUCCCUUUGGUAAAACCAGAACUUGGGAAACGGUGAAGCGUACUGGCAACAAAAAGGGCAUUUCAGCUGAUGGUGUAGCAGUGAUAGCGGUACUACAGAGAACUCUCCACUACGACUGCAUUGUCCUAGUGAAACAGUUCAGGCCGCCAGUUAACGGCUACUGCUUGGAAUUUCCUGCAGGCCUCAUUGAGGAAAAUGAGACAGCAGAACACGCUGCCUUGCGAGAGCUGGAGGAAGAAACUGGGUACAAGGGGGAAGUCGUUGAAUGUACUCCAGCUCUCUACUUGGACCCAGGUUUGUCAAACAGCACAACGCACAUUGUGAGCGUCACCAUUAACGGAGAUGAGGCUGAGAAUACAAGACCUAAGCAAAAACUUGAUGAUGGAGAAUUUGUGGAAGUUAUUUCACUUCCAAAGAAUGACCUACUGCAAAGAAUUGAUGGUAAGAGCUUUCCGGCCCUUUCAAUGCGCUAACGUGAGCUUCAAGAAACCUUUAGCUUCUCUUCUCAUAGCUCCUCGUGGCAUUUCUCAUCCUACAAUAUUGUAUCUUAAACAAAAAGCUGUGAGAGACUUGGCCACGUAACAGAGUUAGUGAUGGUAUCAGAACUCGUAGCAGAACAACAUAUUGCAGUGGAUGCCAGGGUGUAUAGUUACGCACUGGCCCUGAAGCACGCAGCAGAAAAACCGCUCCAAGUUCCUUUUAUGAAGUUCUAAAACAGACAAUAAGAAAUUGAGUUGAAAACUGCUCAAUUCAGAUGGCUUAGAAGUGUAACUCUUCCUGUAAUAAAGGUCCUUUGCUUUACUUGUAGAGCAAAAAAACAAAGUGUUUGUAGGAAUGAUUCUGACAUUUUUAUCUGGAAUUCUGUAACUGACAAAAAGCGUUUCUUCUGACCGCUCAGUCUACCAAACCUUGACACAAUAAUCGUAAUAAAAUGCUGUUUAAUUU